rnacentral:rRNA from 1 species
CACGUAGUUAGCCGGCGCUUCUUUACCCACUACCCUCACCACAACCAUUGUUGCGGCUUGACCAUGAGCGAAAGAGGUUCACAACCCGAAGGCCUCCAUCCCUCACGCGGCGUCGCUGCAUCAGGCUUGCGCCCAUUGUGCAAUAUUCCCCACUGCUGCCUCCCGUAGGGGUCUGGGCCGUAUCUCAGUCCCAAUGUGACCGGUCACCCUCUCAGGCCGGCUACCCGUCAAAGCCUUGGUAGGCCAUCACCCCACCAACAAGCUGAUAGGCCGCGAGCCCAUCCCCCACCAGAAAAACCCUUUCCACCAACCCCCAUGCCGAAGACCAGUGAAUAUCCAGUAUUAGCACCCGUUUCCGGCGUUAUCCCAAAGAAGGGGCAGGUACUCACGUGUUACUCACCGUUCGCCACUCAUCCACCCAACAAAGCUGAGCUUCAGCGUUCGACUUGCAUGUGUUAAGCACGCCGCCAGCGUUCGUCCUCGAGCCACGGAUCGAAAACUCUCUUCGACGACUAC